AAAAACAUCGCCUCUUGCUUAGAUAUAAGAGGUCCCGCCUGCCCAGUGAUUUAGUUUAACGGCCGCGGUAUCUUGCCCGUGCAAAGGUAGCACAAUCAAUUGUCCUCUAAAUAAGGACUAGUAUGAACGGCAUCACGAGGGUUUAACUGUCUCCCUACUUUAAUCAAUAAAAUUGAUUUUCCCGUGAAGAAGCGGGAAUAUAAAUAUAAGACGAAAAGACCCCAUGGAGCUUUAAACUUAUCAUCACUUAUCAAAAAUUUUAGCACACAUUGAUAAAUAUGAAAGAUAGUUUUCGGUUGGGGCGACCCUGGAGAAAAACUAAUCCUCCAAGCUGUAAAAUAAAAAUAUGCUAGAGUAACCACUCAAACAAUCAAAACCUUGACAAAAUGACCCAGAAUACAUCUGAUCAACGAACCAAGUUACCCUGGGG
rnacentral:rRNA from 1 species